rnacentral:lncRNA from 1 species
AGAAUCUUCACCAGGAGUAGAUUCCAUCUUAACAAACCACGUUCUUCGUUCAUCCAGAAGAAACAACUCCUUGUCUGUUCAAGUUUGAUCAUGAGAUUACAGCAAUUCGGUCACAUCUCCAGGCUCCCCUUCUAAUUCUGGUUUUCUUAACUAUUUUCACCACGCCUGAAAUUUCUUCAUCCACUGAAGCCUUGAACCCCUCAAAGUCAUCCAUGAGGGCUGGAAUCAACUUCUUCCAAACUCCCGUUCAUGUUGAUAUUUUGACUUCCUCCCAUGAAUCAUGAAUUUUCUUAAAGGCAUCAAGAAUGGGGAAUCCUUUCCAGAAGAUUUUCAAUUUGCUGUGCCCAGAUCCAACAGAAGAAUCACUAUCUAUGACAGCUAUAGCCUUACAAGAUGUAUUUCUUAAAUAAUAAUGCUUUAAAGUCAAAGUAACUCCUUGAACCAUGGACUGCAGAAUGAAUGUUGUGUUAGCAGGCAUGAAAACAAUAUUAAUCUCUUUGAACAUCUCCAUCGAACCUCUUGGGUGACCAGGUGCAUUGCCAAUAAGCAGUAAUAUUUUGAGAGGAAUCUUCAUUUCUGGGCAUCGAGUCCCAAUAGUGGGCUUAAAAUACUCAGCAAACCAUGCUAACCUGUUGUCUGCCAUGACCAGGAGCUCCAUUCUCACACCUCUCUUUCUGGCCUCGCUCAUCUCAGCCCAUGUUGUCUCCUGGCCUGUUAAAUGUGUCCAUGACUACACAGAAAUUCCUGCCUAUUGCCUGCUUUCCUGAUGGAGAAGUUCAUGAUCUGCAAUAAUCAUCAGUGAACUGCAGCCUUUAUGCCAAUUCUGGCCCACUGCUUGUUUUUUUCAAUAAAGUUUUGUUGGAACACAGCCAUGACCAUCAUUUAUAUAUUGUAUGUGGAUGCUUUCCAGUUACAAUGGCAGAGAUGAGUAGUUGUCACAGGAGUCACAAAACCUAAAGUAUUUGUUAUCCGACCCUUUACAGAAAAUUUUGCUGACCACUGUUCCAUGUGAAUGAAGGUUUCUGAAGCAUUUGCACCUAGAGAAGAUUGUGAGAUAAUUAAGUCAUCAACCAGAUCAUGGUGGUAGACACCUGCCCUCACACUCAAAUAAACCUAGUGACCAGCAUUGGGCCUAGAAACAGAAAUCUUGAUGUUGCAAAAAGAUAUCACUUGUCACAUUAAAUUAAAGAUAUUAAGAAAUUGACUAGUCCUGUCAAAUAAAUUAAAAAAUUUAUUUGUAUUUAAUUUUUAAGUUUGUUUUGAUUUUAGAGUUAAUGUAAUAGCUUAAAAAAAGGGGGGAA